CCGAUAGGAGAUCAAGAGAUGGCUUCAUUCAUCCUCAAUGGUCUCGACAUCGACUACAAUCCCGUGGUGUCCUCUGUCCUGGCGCGGACAGAACCAAUUUCCUUGAGCGAACUCUACACUCAAAUCAUCGCCUAUG